GCAUCUAUGGUCCAGCGGUAGGAUAUUUGCCUUCCAUCAUCUAGCUAAGCUAGGGCGAGCAAAUGGCUCGGGUUCGACUCCCGGUGGAUGCA